UCCUCCUACGGGGCGCAGCAGGGAGGAAUAUUGGUCAAUGGUCGGGAGACUGAACCAGCCAAGCCGCGGGAGGGAUGAAGGUACAGAGUAUCGUAAACCUCUUUUGUCAGGGAACAAAGGCGGGGACGUGUCCCCGGAUGAGUGUACCUGAAGAAAAAGCAUCGGCUAAAUACGUGCCAGCAGCCGCGGUAAUACGGAGGAUGCGAGCGUUAUCCGGAUUUAUUGGGUUUAAAGGGUGCGCAGGCGGUCUGUUAAGUAAGCGGUCAAAGCCCGGGGCUCAACCCCGGCCCGCCGUUGAAACUGGC
rnacentral:rRNA from 1 species